rnacentral:snRNA from 1 species
AUACUGACAGUACCACAGGACUACCAAAAGAACAAACAAAUCUGUCCUGAUAAAAGCAUAACCACAGCUUGUCCCAUUGCACUCCGGGAUGUGCUGACCCCUGCAACUUCCCCAAAUGUGGGGAACUCACUGCAUAAUUUGUGGUAGUAGGGGCCUGCAUUCACGCUCUCCCGUU